rnacentral:rRNA from 1 species
GUGGGGAAUAUUGGGCAAUGGGCGAAAGCCUGACCCAGCAACGCCGCGUGAAGGAUGAAGGUCUUCGGAUUGUAAACUUCUUUGAUUGGGGAAGAAAAAAAUGACCUACCCAAAGAACAAGUCACGGCUAACUACGUGCCAGCAGCCGCGGUAAUACGUAGGUGACAAGCGUUAUCCGGAUUUACUGGGUGUAAAGGGCGUGUAGGCGGCUUUGCAAGUCAGAAGUGAAAUUCCCGGGCUUAACCUGGGCGCUGCUUCUGAAACUGUAAAGCUUGAGUACUGGAGGGGAAAGCGGAAUUCCUAGUGUAGCGGUAAAAUGCACAGAUAUUAGGAGGAACACCGGUGGCGAAGGCGGCUUUCUGGACAGUAACUGACGCUGAGGCGCGAAAGCGUGGGGAGCAAACAGG